UAGGGAAUAUUGGACAAUGGGGGCAACCCUGAUCCAGCCAUGCCGCGUGAGUGAAGAAGGCCCUCGGGUUGUAAAGCUCUUUUGUCCGGAAAGAAAAGCUUCGGGUUAAUACCCCGGGGUUCUGACGGUACCGGAAGCAUAAGCACCGGCUAACUUCGUGCCAGCAGCCGCGGUAAUACGAAGGGUGCAAGCGUUACUCGGAAUUACUGGGCGUAAAGCGUGCGUAGGUGGUUGUUUAAGUCUGAUGUGAAAGCCCUGGGCUCAACCUGGGAAUGGCAUUGGAAACUGGGCAGCUAGAGUGCGGUAGAGGGUAGUGGAAUGCCCGGUGUAGCAGUGAAAUGCGUAGAGAUCGGGAGGAACAGCUGUGGCGAAGGCGACUGCCUGGACCAGCACUGACACUGA
rnacentral:rRNA from 1 species